rnacentral:rRNA from 1 species
CUAUGCGCCUUGCCAGCCCGCUCAGUCAGAGUUUGAUCCUGGCUCAGAACGAACGCUGGCGGCAGGCCUAACACAUGCAAGUCGAACGCCCCGCAAGGGGAGUGGCAGACGGGUGAGUAACACGUGGGAACCUUCCCUAUAGUACGGAAUAGCCCAGGGAAACUUGGAGUAAUACCGUAUACGCCCGAAAGGGGAAAGAAUUUCGCUAUAGGAUGGGCCCGCGUAGGAUUAGCUAGUUGGUGAGGUAACGGCUCACCAAGGCGACGAUCCUUAGCUGGUUUGAGAGAACGACCAGCCACACUGGGACUGAGACACGGCCCAG